UCCUGGCUCAGGAUGAACGCUGGCGGCGUGCCUAACGCAUGCAAGUCGAACGGAGUUACUUUGGUGAAGUUUUCGGAUGGAACUGAUUUAACUUAGUGGCGGACGGGUGAGUAAUGCGUGAGCAACCUGCCCUUCAGAGGGGGACAACAGUUGGAAACGACUGCUAAUGCCGCAUAAUGUAUUCGGAAGGCAUCUUCUGAAUACCAAAGGAGAAAUCCGCUGAGGGAUGGGCUCACGUCUGAUUAGUUAGUUGGUGAGAUAACGGCUCACCAAGACUGCGAUCAGUAGCCGGACUGAGAGGUUGAACGGCCACAUUGGGACUGAGAUACGGCCCAGACUCCUACGGGAGGCAGCAGUGGGGAAUAUUGGGCAAUGGGCGAAAGCCUGACCCAGCAACGCCGCGUGAAGGAAGAAGGCCUUCAGGUUGUAAACUUCUUUUAAGAGGGACGAAGAAGUGACGGUACCUCUUGAAUAAGCCACGGCUAACUACGUG
rnacentral:rRNA from 1 species